GGGGUUGUGGCUCAGAGGUAGAGCACUCGCUUAGCAUGUGCGAGGCCCUGGGUUCAAUCCUCAGCACCA
rnacentral:tRNA from 1 species